ACAGGCUAAUGAUCCCCAAGAGUUCUCAUUGCCGGGAUCGAUUGGCACCUCGAUGUCGGCUCAUUUUUUCCUGGAUAAGUAGAAUGAUCCAAGGGUACGUCUGUUCGACGUUUAAAAAAGUACGUGAGCUGGGUUUAGAACGUCGUGAGACAGUUCGGUCCCUAUCCAUCGUGGGCGGAGGAGACUUGAAGGGGGCUGGCCCUAGUACGAGAGGACUGGGAUGGACGCACCUCUAGUGUACCAGUUAUCACGCCAGUGGUAUCGCUGGGUAGCUAUGUGCGGAACGGAUAAGCGCUGAAAGCAUAUAAGCGCGAAGCUGGCCCUGAGAUGAGGUCUCCCGUGGGGUAACCCACCUAAAGGCCCCUUCGAGAGUAGGAGGUUGAUAGGCCAGAGGUGUAAGCGUGGUGACACGUUCAGCCGACUGGUACUAAUCGGCCGUGCGGCUUGAUCGA
rnacentral:rRNA from 1 species